CAGCCGCCGCGGGAAUACGUAGGUGGCAAGCGUUGUCCGGAAUUAUUGGGCGUAAAGGGCUCGCAGGCGGUUUCUUAAGUCUGAUGUGAAAGCCCCCGGCUCAACCGGGGAGGGUCAUUGGAAACUGGGAAACUUGAGUGCGGAAGAGGAGAGUGGAAUUCCACGUGUAGCGGUGAAAUGCGUAGAGAUGUGGAGGAACACCAGUGGCGAAGGCGACUCUCUGGUCUGUAACUGACGCUGAGGAGCGAAAGCGUGGGGAGCGAACAGGAUUAGAUACCCCGGUAGUCCCUGUCUCUUAUAU
rnacentral:rRNA from 1 species